UUAGAUUCUCACAGGCCUGUAACAGAUGGUCGGCAUGCGCAACACAGCUCAUUCAAGAAAAAGUGCUGACAAGAUUUUAUUGAAGCAGUUGCUGGGCAUCACACACAAUGACUGAGCUUAUCGCAGAGCUUGUUUGAAGAGAAAAGAUUCAAACAAUACGAUUUCUAAUUUAUCGAACCCUGUAACUGUGUCCCAAACCGUUUUGACAUUGUGACAUACUUUGACAGCGAGAAAAUAUUUUCAUUCAAUCGUCAUUGAUAUUCACGACCAAUCCAUUGUCUGAGUGCAUUUCGUUGAAUUUACUCGCUAAAUUUUUCAUUGGACGCAAAAACUUGAAUAAAAAUCCAAAAUGUUGGUCAACAAUGUAUUGCGCCCCGUUGCAAGCAACCUUUUGAAAGUACCAUCACGUUCAACAUCGGCUGUUGUUGGUGCACGAAGCCGUCACGUACCCAAUUCGG